rnacentral:rRNA from 1 species
GACGAACGCUGGCGGCGUGCCUAAUACAUGCCAGUCGAACGCAUUUUCUUUCACCGUAGCUUGCUACACCGAAAGAAAAUGAGUGGCGAACGGGUGAGUAACACGUGGGUAACCUGCCCAUCAGCGGGGGAUAACACUUGGAAACAGGUGCUAAUACCGCAUAAUUCCAUUUACUGCAUGGUAGAUGGAUGAAAGGCGCUUUUGCGUCACUGAUGGAUGGACCCGCGGUGCAUUAGCUAGUUGGUGGGGUAACGGCCUACCAAGGCUGCGAUGCAUAGCCGACCUGAGAGGGUGAUCGGCCACACUGGGACUGAGACACGGCCCAGACUCCUACGGGAGGCAGCAGUAUGGAAUCUUCGGCAAUGGACGCAAGUCUGACCGAGCAACGCCGCGUGAGUGAAGAAGGGUUUCGGAUCGUAAAACUCUGUUGUUAGAAAAGAACAAGGAUGAGAGUGGAAAGUUCAUCCCUUGACGGUAUCUAACCAGAAAGCCACGGCUAACUACGUG